UACAGAGGUCCCAACCGUUGUUCGGAUUCAUUGGGCGUAAAGGGUGCGUAGGCGGCGGGGCAAGUCAGGUGUGAAAUCUCGGGGCUUAACCCCGAAACUGCACUUGAUACUGCCUUGCUCGAGUACUGGAGAGGAGACUGGAAUUUACGGUGUAGCAGUGAAAUGCGUAGAUAUCGUAAGGAAGACCAGUGGCGAAGGCGAGUCUCUGGACAGUUACUGACGCUGAGGCACGAAGGCCAGGGGAGCAAACGGG
rnacentral:rRNA from 1 species